rnacentral:rRNA from 1 species
AUGGAGUACGAGCCGCCGCAAUUAUGUCGUUGUCAGAUGAAAGCCCCUAGGUGGAUCUCAUGGAGCCCGAAGAACCCAGGGAGGAGGUUGUCAAAGAACAAGAUGUUGGAUGCAUAUGUGUGUGAUUUGGAAGUCAAUCAUCGUGGAGAAAUUAAUGUCCUCAAGAAGAAGAUUCAGAAAUUGCAGUUCCGCCUUGUGGUUGCUCUGUUCUACCUUGUCGUCUCCCUCUUUUUUGAAAUGAUUGUCCUGAAGAAGAAGAAGCAUCCUCAAGAUAUUAGUUUGUGA